CCCUCACAGUCAACGUCACCAUCUCCACCCUCCGGUAUUCAUCAGACAUGAGCAAUGGCUAGGCCACGUUCAACUUCACUGAGAGGGUCCUGCAGAGCCUGGUGAAACCCUGGUUCCAGCAGCUCCUGGUGGGUUAAAUCCCACCCAGCCCCUCCUCCAACCCCUGUCCCUCCUGCUCCUCCUCCUCCUUCCUCCCCAGCUGGAUCAUUGUUCAAGAAGAGCAGCCUGGGCCCCUUCUACUCAAGUUGCAGACUGGUCUCCCUCAGGCCUGAGAAGGAUGGGUCAGCCACCUGUGUGGACGCUGUCUGCACCCACCACCCUGACCCCGUGGGACACCAUGCCUCUGUGCUGGGAGCUGAGUGUCGCCACCUGUCUGCUCUUCUUCUCGGUGGCUCCUGGCUCUGCAGCCCAGAGUUUAUCCAUCAAGAGAGAGCACCAGCUACAUUUCCGCAUCAUCAGCUGGAACCUCAGCAUCUCGGAGCCCACAUCUUAGGAGUACUCCGCCCUGCUGAGAGACACCCAAGACCAGGUCACCACGCUCUACAGCGGCAGCCAGCUUUGAGACAUAUUCCACUCCUGCCUGG